rnacentral:rRNA from 1 species
GACGAACGCUGGCGGCGUGCUUAACACAUGCAAGUCGAACGGAAUGGCCCUGCUUUUGUGGGGUACUCGCAUGGCGAACGGGAACGUAUAACGAGUGACACCAGAUCUUGACUCUGGGCUACCGUCAGGAAACUGGGGUCAAUUACGGACAGGACCUCCUACUGCAUGGUGGGGAUUCGAACGUUUCGGCGGUUGGGGAUGGACUCGCGGCUUAUCAGUUUGUUGGUGGGGUAGUGGCUUACCAAGGCUUUGACGGGUAGCCGGCCUGAGAGGGUGACCGGCCACAUUGGGACUGAGAUACGGCCCAGACUCCUGCGGGAGGCAGCAGUGGGGAAUAUUGCACAAUGGGCGGAAGCCUUAUGCAGCAACGCCGCGUGCGGGAUGACGGCCUUCGGGUUGUAAACCGCUUUCGCCUGUGACGAAGCGUGAGUGACGGUAAUGGGUAAAGAAGCACCGGCUAACUACGUG